AAUGCAGAGAUGCAUUAGUCCUUCGGACGAGGAGACAGGUGGUGCAUGGUUGUCGUCAGCUCGUGUCGUGAGAUGUUGGGUUAAGUCCCCGCAACGAGCGCAACCCUUGUUGUUAGUUGCCAGCGAGUAAAGUUGGGCACUCUAGCGAGACUGCCGGUGAUAAAUCGGAGGAAGUGGGACGACGUCAAAUCAUCAUGCCCCCUUAUGUCCUGGGCUACACACGUACUACAAUGGCUACUACAGAGGGAAGCGAUACCGUAAGGAGGAGCAAAUCCCAAAAAGUAGUCCCAGUUCAGAUUGUGGGCUGCAACCCGCCCACAUGAAGUCGGAAUUGCUAGUAAUGGCAGGUCAGCAUACUGCCGUGAAUACGUUCCCGGGCCUU
rnacentral:rRNA from 1 species